rnacentral:rRNA from 1 species
GAGUUUGAUCCUGGCUCAGAGCGAACGCUGGCGGCAGGCCUAAUACAUGCAAGUCGAACGCACCUUCGGGUGAGUGGCGGACGGGUGAGUAACGCGUGGGAACGUGCCCUUUGGUACGGAACAACUGAGGGAAACUUCAGCUAAUACCGUAUGUGCCCUUCGGGGGAAAGAUUUAUCGCCAUUGGAGCGGCCCGCGUUGGAUUAGCUAGUUGGUAGGGUAAUGGCCUACCAAGGCUACGAUCCAUAGCUGGUCUGAGAGGAUGAUCAGCCACACUGGGACUGAGACACGGCCCAGACUCCUACGGGAGGCAGCAGUAGGGAAUCUUGCGCAAUGGGCGAAAAGCCUGACGCAGCCAUGCCGCGUGUAUGAUGAAAGGUCUUAGGAUUGUAAAAUACUUUCACCGGGGAAGAUAAUGACGGUACCCGGAAGAAGAAGCCCCGGCUAACUUCGUGCCAGCAGCCGCCGC